UACGGGGGGUGCAAGCGUUGUUCGGAAUUACUGGGCGUAAAGGGCUCGUAGGCGGCCAACUAAGUCAGACGUGAAAUCCCCAGGCUCAACCUGGGAACUGCGUCUGAUACUGGUUGGCUUGAAUCCGGGAGAGGGAUGCAGAAUUCCAGGUGUAGCGGUGAAAUGCGUAGAUAUCUGGAGGAAUACCGGUGGCGAAGGCGGCAUCCUGGACCGGCAUUGACGCUGAGGAGCGAAAGCCAGGGGAGAAAGCGGG
rnacentral:rRNA from 1 species